CUCGGGCGGCCAGCCGCGCCUCGGACGACCCCGGGACAGAUCCGGGCCGCGUCCCCGCGUUGGGAGAGGGAUGGGGACUGAGGCCGGAGACGCCUAGACGCCGCGGAUAGCGAAGUCUGAGUUCCUCUGAGCCAGGGGGCACCGACCGUCACGAGCUAACUUCCUGGAAGAGCUUUCCGUCUAUUUUCAAAUUCUUUACCGAAGCCUCAGAGGCCAAGACCAGCUCCCUGAAGCCGGCUGUGACGCGCCGCUCCCACCGCAUCAAGCACGAAGAGCUGUAAGAGGAGCGAGCGCGACGGGGGAGGCCGCCCUGGCGCACCCACCCGCACGCCUCCUCAC
rnacentral:lncRNA from 1 species